rnacentral:rRNA from 1 species
CAGCCGCCGCGGUAAUACAGAGGGUGCGAGCGUUAAUCGGAUUUACUGGGCGUAAAGCGCACGCAGGCGGUCUGACAAGUCAGAUGUGAAAUCCCCGGGCUUAACCUGGGAACUGCAUUUGAAACUGUCAGGCUGGAGUCUUGUAGAGGGGGGUAGAAUUCCAGGUGUAGCGGUGAAAUGCGUAGAGAUCUGGAGGAAUACCGGUGGCGAAGGCGGCCCCCUGGACAAAGACUGACGCUCAGGUGCGAAAGCGUGGGGAGCAAACAGGAUUAGAUACCCGUGUAGUCCCUGUCUCUUAUAC